CUUACAUGUCCUGUGAGCAUUCACUGAAUAGCCCCAUUUAACCCGGAGGGUGGAGGUAACAUUAACUGAAUGUGGUCAAAGUGCAUCAGUGUCAAGAUGAUUCCCCAUAUACGCCAACCGUCUCAUUGAGGGACCCCUGAGAUAUAGGAUAGACUGUGAGGCAGGUGCGUCCAGGCUUAGAUUGUGGGACCCCCGAAGUCACUGGGAAGGGCCACCUGUGAGGUAACCCCGGAAAAAAUAAGAGGAACCAGAGGCGCCAAAAAGCUGGAAGAUGCCGCGAUUACGCAUUGAGAUGGUGGAAGUACUGCACAGAUGCCACUUUGAAGGGCAAGGAGAGGUGAGUGAACCCAAUGGAUGGCCGUGACCGAGGAACCAGAGGCACAAAAAUGUGAGGAGGGCGAGGGGUUUAGGGGGAACGUAUGGGCCUGAAGCUAGUCAUACCGGACAUUAUAUGCAAUGGGUUGCUGAUUUCACGUGAGGUGUACGAUUAAUAAAUCCAUCUGAUACGAACUGCGUGAGAUAUGUGGUGAAGGGCUGUUGUUGAGGUCGGAAGAGGGUC